GGCGGCAUAGCCAAGUGGUUAAGGCAACGGCCUGCAAAGUCGUUUUCCCCUGGUUCGAUUCCAGGUGCCGCCUCCA
rnacentral:tRNA from 1 species